GAUGAACGCUGGCGGCGUGCCUAAUACAUGCAAGUCGAGCGAACGGACGAGAAGCUUGCUUCUCUGAUGUUAGCGGCGGACGGGUGAGUAACACGUGGAUAACCUACCUAUAAGACUGGGAUAACUUCGGGAAACCGGAGCUAAUACCGGAUAAUAUUUUGAACCGCAUGGUUCAAAAGUGAAAGACGGUCUUGCUGUCACUUAUAGAUGGAUCCGCGCUGCAUUAGCUAGUUGGUAAGGUAACGGCUUACCAAGGCAACGAUGCAUAGCCGACCUGAGAGGGUGAUCGGCCACACUGGAACUGAGACACGGUCCGGACUCCUACGGGAGGCAGCAGUAGGGAAUCUUCCGCAAUGGGCGAAAGCCUGACGGAGCAACGCCGCGUGAGUGAUGAAGGUCUUCGGAUCGUAAAACUCUGUUAUUAGGGAAGACCAUAUGUGUAAGUAACUGUGCACAUCUUGACGGUACCUAAUCAGAAAGCCACGGCUAACUACGUG
rnacentral:rRNA from 1 species